rnacentral:pre_miRNA from 1 species
UGUUAAUGCUAAUCGUGAUAGGGGUUUGUCUUUUUCACUUCUAACUGACUCCUACAUGUUAGCAUUAACA